rnacentral:rRNA from 1 species
CACCGGUGGCGAAGGCGGGUNUCUGGGCCGUUACUGACGCUGAGGAGCGAAAGCGUGGGGAGCGAACAGGAUUAGAUACCCUGGUAGUCCACGCUGUAAACGUUGGGCACUAGGUGUGGGGGGCCUUUUCCGGGUNUUCCGCGCCGUAGCUAACGCAUUAAGUGCCCCGCCUGGGGAGUACGGCCGCAAGGCUAAAACUCAAAGGAAUUGACGGGGGCCCGCACAAGCGGCGGAGCAUGCGGAUUAAUUCGAUGCAACGCGAAGAACCUUACCAAGGCUUGACAUGGGCUGGAUUGCUUCGGAGACGGGGUUUCCCUUUUUUGGGCUGGUUCNCAGGUGGUGCAUGGUUGUCGUCAGCUCGUGUCGUGAGAUGUUGGGUUAAGUCCCGCAACGAGCGCAACCCUUGUCUCGUGUUGCCAGCACGUUGUGGUGGGGACUCGCGGGAGACUGCCGGGGUUAACUCGGAGGAAGGUGGGGAUGACGUCAAAUCAUCAUGCCCCUUAUGUCUUGGGCUUCACGCAUGCUACAAUGGCCGGUACAGUGGGUUGCGAUGCUGUGAGGCGGAGCGAAUCCCUGCAAGCCGGUCUCAGUUCGGAUCGGUGUCUGCA